rnacentral:rRNA from 1 species
ACGCUCGACACCUACGGAGGCAGCAGUGAGGAAUAUUGGUCAAUGGGCGCUAGCCUGAACCAGCCAAGUAGCGUGAAGGAUGAAGGCUCUAUGGGUCGUAAACUUCUUUUAUAUAAGAAUAAAGUGCAGUAUGUAUACUGUUUUGUAUGUAUUAUAUGAAUAAGGAUCGGCUAACUCCGUGCUAGCAGCCGCGGUAAUCUGAGCGGGCUGGCAAGGC